GGCUACACACGUGCUACAAUGGGUAGUACAGAGAGUCGCAAAACCGCGAGGUGGAGCUAAUCUCAGAAAACUAUUCUUAGUUCGGAUUGUACUCUGCAACUCGAGUACAUGAAGUUGGAAUCGCUAGUAAUCGCGAAUCAGCAAUGUCGCGGUGAAUACGUUCUCGGGUCUUGUACACACCGCCCGUCACACCACGAGAGUUGGUUGUACCUGAAGUAGCAGGCCUAACCGUAAGGAGGGAUGCUCCGAGGGUGUGAUUAGCGAUUGGGGUGAAGUCGUAACAAGGUAUCCGUACGGGAACGU
rnacentral:rRNA from 1 species